rnacentral:rRNA from 1 species
AUUGAACGCUGGCGGCAGGCCUAACACAUGCCAGUCGAGCGGAAGAAGGGAGCUUGCUCCUGGAUUCAGCGGCGGACGGGUGAGUAAUGCCUAGGAAUCUGCCUGGUAGUGGGGGAUAACGUCUGGAAACGGGCGCUAAUAACGCAUACGUCCUGCGGGAGCAAGUGGGGGGUCUUCGGACCUUACGCUAUCAGAUGAGCCUAGGUCGGAUUAGUCAGUUGGUGGGGUAAAGGCCUACCAAGCCGAGGAUCCGUAACUGGUCUGAGAGGAUGGUUAGUCACAUGGGAGCUGAGACGGGGUCCAGGCGACUACGGGAGGCAGCAGUGGGGAAUGUGGGACAAUGGGCGGAAGCCUGAUCCAGCCAUGCCGCGUGUGUGGAAAAGGUCUUCGGAGUGUAAAGCACUUUAAGUUGGGAGGAAGGGCAGUAAGUUAAUACCUUGCUGGAUUGACGUUACCAACAGAAUAAGCACCGGCUAACUUCGUG